CGUAAAGCGUCCGAUAGGUGGCCAGGUAAGUCUGCUGUCAAAGACUAACAGCUUAACUGUGGAAAGGCAGUGGAAACUGCAGGGCUAGGAGUGCGGUAGGGGUAGAGGGAAUUCCAGGUGUAGCGGUGAAAUGCGUAGCAUCUCUGGAAGAACACCGGUGGCGAAAGCGCUCUACUGCGGCCGAAACUGACACUGAGGGACCAAAGCUAGGGGAGCGAAAGGGAUUUAGAUACCCCCUGUAUUCCUAGCCGUAAACGAAUGGAUACUUAGGUGUAGCAACGUAUCAACCCCCGUGCUGUAUCGGAAGGCCAACGCGUUUAAGUAUCCUGCCUUGGGGA
rnacentral:rRNA from 1 species